rnacentral:misc_RNA from 1 species
ACAGGAGGGGAUACUGAUAUUGAUAGUACAGGAGGAAAUAAAGGCAUUGAUUUUGAAGAUGUUGGUAAUUUUGGAGUUAUAGAUUUUCCUAGAGGCAGUGGAGUGGGUAAUAUUGAUGCUGGUGGAAGUUCUAGCAGCAGUGUUGACGUUGAAGUUGGAGGUGGCAAAAGGGGAGAAAUUGUUUUGGAAAUGGUACCAAAGUGAUGCAGGAAUAAUUAACUUUUCUCUCUUUAAUAUUUUAGGUAUUUUGUUCUUUAAUAGUGAGGGUGUUGUUGUUUCAUUUUUUUUGCUUCAGACUCUGUUUUGUGAUGGGCUCUUUAUUUUCAUUUUUAUUUUAUUCUAGUUUUGU